rnacentral:rRNA from 1 species
GACGAACGCUGGCGGCGUGCUUAACACAUGCAAGUCGAACGAUGAUCAGGAGCUUGCUCCUGUGGUUCGUGGCGAACGGGUGAGUAACACGUGAGUAACCUGCCCCUGACUCUGGGAUAAGCGUUGGAAACGCCGUCUCAUAUAGGGUAUAAUAGCUGGCCGCACGGGCUGGUGGUGGGAAGGUUUUGGUGGUUGGGGAUGGACUCGCGGCUUAUCAGCUUGUUGGUGGGGUAUUGGCUUACCAAGGCUGCGACGGGUAGCCGGCCUGAGAGGGUGACCGGCCACACUGGGACUGAGACACGGCCCAGACUCCUACGGGAGGCAGCAGUGGGGAAUAUUGCACAAUGGGCGAAAGCCUGAUGCAGCAACGCCGCGUGCGGGAUGACGGCCUUCGGGUUGUAAACCUCUUUUGGUAGGGAAGAAGCGAGAGUGACGGUACCUGCUGAAAAAGCACCGGCUAACUACGUG